GCAUGGUUGUCGUCAGCUCGUGUCGUGUAGAUGUUGGUUAAGUCCGCAACGAGCGCAACCCUUGUCUUUAGUUACCAUCAUUCAGUUGGGGACUCUAGAGAGACUGCCGGUGAUAAACCGGAGGAAGGUGGGGAUGACGUCAAAUCAUCAUGCCCCUUAUGGCCUGGGCUACAAACGUAAUACAAUGGCGUAUACAAAGGGAUGCGAAAGGGCGACCUGGAGCAAAACUCACAAAGUACGUCUCAGUUCAGAUUGGAGUCUGCAACUCGACUCCAUGAAGGCGGAAUCGCUAGUAAUCGCGGAUCAGCAUGCCGCGGUGAAUACGUUCUCGGGGUUU
rnacentral:rRNA from 1 species